CCUACGGGUGGCAGCAGUGAGGAAUAUUGGUCAAUGGACGAGAGUCUGAACCAGCCAAGUCGCGUGAAGGAUGACUGCCCUAUGGGUUGUAAACUUCUUUUAUAUGGGAAUAAAAUGUUCCACGUGUGGGGUUUUGUAUGUACCAUAUGAAUAAGGAUCGGCUAACUCCGUGCCAGCAGCCGCGGUAAUACGGAGGAUCCGAGCGUUAUCCGGAUUUAUUGGGUUUAAAGGGUGCGUAGGUGGAUUGUUAAGUCAGUGGUGAAAUUUUGCGGCUCAACCGUCAACUUGCAGUUGAAACUGGCAGUCUUGAGUACAGUAGAGGUGGGCGGAAUUCGUGGUGUAGCGGUGAAAUGCUUAGAUAUCACGAAGAACUCCGAUUGCGAAGGCAGCUCACCGGACUGCAACUGACACUGAGGCUCGAAAGUGUGGGUAUCAAACAGGAUUAGAUACCCUUGUAGUC
rnacentral:rRNA from 1 species